rnacentral:rRNA from 1 species
AACCACAGCCAUAUCACCCUGCAGCCCAAGACCAGUUACUCUCUGAAACUAAGCAGGGCUGAGCCUGGUCAGUACCUGGAUGGGAGACCACUAGGGAACACUAGGUUGCUGUUGAAA